CAUAUUUGCUGGAAUGCUUUAUGCGUCAAAAGGAUUCGUCUGCCCAAGGAUGGGUCUGCGGCCUAUCAGGUAGUAGUGGGUGUAAUGUACCUACUAGCCAGCGACGGGUACGGGUUGUGAGAGCAAGAGCCCGGAGAUGGAUUCUGAGACAUGAAUCCAGGCCCUACGGGGCGCAGCAGGCGCGAAAACUUUACAAUGCGGGAAACCGUGAUAAGGGGACACCGAGUGCCAGCAUCAUAUGCUGGCUGUCCGGAUGUGUAAAAUACAUCCGUUAGCAAGGGCCGGGCAAGACCGGUGCCAGCCGCCGCGGUAACACCGGCGGCCCGAGUGGUGAUCGUGAUUAUUGGGUCUAAAGGGUCCGUAGCCGGUUUGGUCAGUCCUCCGGGAAAUCUGAUAGCUCAACUAUUAGGCUUUCGGGGGAUACUGCCAGACUUGGAACCGGGAGAGGUAAGAGGUACUACAGGGGUAGGAGUGAAAUCUUGUAAUCCCUGUGGGACCACCUGUGGCGAAGGCGUCUUACCAGAACGGGUUCGACGGUGAGGGACGAAAGCUGGGGGCACGAACCGGAUUAGAUACCCGGGUAGUCCCAGCCGUAAACGAUGCUCGCUAGGUGUCAGGCAUGGCGCGACCGUGUCUGGUGCCGCAGGGAAGCCGUGAAGCGAGCCACCUGGGAAGUACGGCCGCAAGGCUGAAACUUAAAGGAAUUGGCGGGGGAGCACAACAACGGGUGGAGCCUGCGGUUUAAUUGGACUCAACGCCGGACAACUCACCGGGGGCGACAGCAAUAUGUAGGCCAAGCUGAAGACUUUGCCUGAAUCGCUGAGAGGAGGUGCAUGGCCGUCGCCAGUUCGUACUGUGAAGCAUCCUGUUAAGUCAGGCAACGAGCGAGACCCGUGCCCACUGUUACCAGCAUGUCCUCCGGGACGAUGGGUACUCUGUG
rnacentral:rRNA from 1 species